UUUUUUUGUAAGUAUUGAUCCUUGAACAUAAUGGGAUUUGUACACACAUCAAAAUAACAGGCAGUCCUACAGGAUUGCUAGCACACACUCUGAACACAUGGUGACUGUAUCAGUCAAUGAGAAUAAUUCCGUUUUGAGUAAUUUUUCUCUUGAUUUUUUUCAGUGAACAAAAAACUAGUAAAAAUGAUAAAUAUUUAAAAAUAGUUUGACUUUUUAAAAGUCAUAGGAAUAUUUGGCAUAGGAAACAGAUAAGCCAUAGUAGUUUCUCUUAAAGAUCUACCAAACAUAUACCCUUAUUUUAUUUCCCUGAGCACCUAACAUAUUCUAUUUGUUUUACAACUCUUUGAAGCAUAUUUACUUAGGAAAGGUAUUUUUUCAUACAUUUCAUUUUGCUGGAUGAUUUUCUUUCAAUUCAUAUUAUCAGAGUUGAUUCUAG
rnacentral:lncRNA from 1 species